GGGUUGUGAGGUUAAGCGACUAAGCGUACACGGUGGAUGCCCUGGCAGUCAGAGGCGAUGAAGAUAGGUUAAUGAGGCGAACCGGGGGAACUGAAACAUCUAAGUACCCCGAGGAAAAGAAAUCAACCGAGAUUCCCCCAGUAGCGGCGAGCGAACGGGGAGCAGCCCAGAGCCUGAAUCAGUGUGUGUGUUAGUGGAAGCGUCUGGAAAGGCGCGCGAUACAGGGUGACAGCCCCGUACACAAAAAUGCACAUGCUGUGAGCUCGAUGAGUAGGGCGGGACACGUGGUAUCCUGUCUGAAUAUGGGGGGACCAUCCUCCAAGGCUAAAUACUCCUGACUGACCGAUAGUGAACCAGUACCGUGAGGGAAAGGCGAAAAGAACCCCGGCGAGGGGAGUGAAAAAGAACCUGAAACCGUGUACGUACAAGCAGUGGGAGCACGCUUAGGCGUGUGACUGCGUACCUUUUGUAUAAUGGGUCAGCGACUUAUAUUCUGUAGCAAGGUUAACCGAAUAGGGGAGCCRAAGGGAAACCGAGUCUUAACUGGGCGUUAAGUUGCAGGGUAUAGACCCGAAACCCGGUGAUCUAGCCAUGGGCAGGUUGAAGGUUGGGUAACACUAACUGGAGGACCGAACCGACUAAUGUUGAAAAAUUAGCGGAUGACUUGUGGCUGGGGGUGAAAGGCCAAUCAAACCGGGAGAUAGCUGGUUCUCCCCGAAAGCUAUUUAGGUAGCGCCUCGUGAAUUCAUCUCCGGGGGUAGAGCACUGUUUCGGCAAGGGGGUCAUCCCGACUUACCAACCCGAUGCAAACUGCGAAUACCGGAGAAUGUUAUCACGGGAGACACACGGCGGGUGCUAACGUCCGUCGUGAAGAGGGAAACAACCCAGACCGCCAGCUAAGGUCCCAAAGUCAUGGUUAAGUGGGAAACGAUGUGGGAAGGCCCAGACAGCCAGGAUGUUGGCUUAGAAGCAGCCAUCAUUUAAAGAAAGCGUAAUAGCUCACUGGUCGAGUCGGCCUGCGCGGAAGAUGUAACGGGGCUAAACCAUGCACCGAAGCUGCGGCAGCGACGCUUAUGCGUUGUUGGGUAGGGGAGCGUUCUGUAAGCCUGYGAAGGUGURCUGUGAGGYAUGCUGGAGGUAUCAGAAGUGCGAAUGCUGACAUAAGUAACGAUAAAGCGGGUGAAAAGCCCGCUCGCCGGAAGACCAAGGGUUCCUGUCCAACGUUAAUCGGGGCAGGGUGAGUCGACCCCUAAGGCGAGGCCGAAAGGCGUAGUCGAUGGGAAACAGGUUAAUAUUCCUGUACUUGGUGUUACUGCGAAGGGGGGACGGAGAAGGCUAUGUUGGCCGGGCGACGGUUGUCCCGGUUUAAGCGUGUAGGCUGGUUUUCCAGGCAAAUCCGGAAAAUCAAGGCUGAGGCGUGAUGACGAGGCACUACGGUGCUGAAGCAACAAAUGCCCUGCUUCCAGGAAAAGCCUCUAAGCAUCAGGUAACAUCAAAUCGUACCCCAAACCGACACAGGUGGUCAGGUAGAGAAUACCAAGGCGCUUGAGAGAACUCGGGUGAAGGAACUAGGCAAAAUGGUGCCGUAACUUCGGGAGAAGGCACGCUGAUAUGUAGGUGAAGUCCCUCGCGGAUGGAGCUGAAAUCAGUCGAAGAUACCAGCUGGCUGCAACUGUUUAUUAAAAACACAGCACUGUGCAAACACGAAAGUGGACGUAUACGGUGUGACGCCUGCCCGGUGCCGGAAGGUUAAUUGAUGGGGUYAGCGCAAGCGAAGCUCUUGAUCGAAGCCCCGGUAAACGGCGGCCGUAACUAUAACGGUCCUAAGGUAGCGAAAUUCCUUGUCGGGUAAGUUCCGACCUGCACGAAUGGCGUAAUGAUGGCCAGGCUGUCUCCACCCGAGACUCAGUGAAAUUGAACUCGCUGUGAAGAUGCAGUGUACCCGCGGCAAGACGGAAAGACCCCGUGAACCUUUACUAUAGCUUGACACUGAACAUUGAGCCUUGAUGUGUAGGAUAGGUGGGAGGCUUUGAAGUGUGGACGCCAGUCUGCAUGGAGCCGACCUUGAAAUACCACCCUUUAAUGUUUGAUGUUCUAACGUKGACCCGUAAUCCGGGUUGCGGACAGUGUCUGGUGGGUAGUUUGACUGGGGCGGUCUCCUCCUAAAGAGUAACGGAGGAGCACGAAGGUUGGCUAAUCCUGGUCGGACAUCAGGAGGUUAGUGCAAUGGCAUAAGCCAGCUUGACUGCGAGCGUGACGGCGCGAGCAGGUGCGAAAGCAGGUCAUAGUGAUCCGGUGGUUCUGAAUGGAAGGGCCAUCGCUCAACGGAUAAAAGGUACUCCGGGGAUAACAGGCUGAUACCGCCCAAGAGUUCAUAUCGACGGCGGUGUUUGGCACCUCGAUGUCGGCUCAUCACAUCCUGGGGCUGAAGUAGGUCCCAAGGGUAUGGCUGUUCGCCAUUUAAAGUGGUACGCGAGCUGGGUUUAGAACGUCGUGAGACAGUUCGGUCCCUAUCUGCCGUGGGCGCUGGAGAACUGAGGGGGGCUGCUCCUAGUACGAGAGGACCGGAGUGGACGCAUCACUGGUGUUCGGGUUGUCAUGCCAAUGGCACUGCCCGGUAGCUAAAUGCGGAAGAGAUAAGUGCUGAAAGCAUCUAAGCACGAAACUUGCCCCGAGAUGAGUUCUCCCUGACYCCUURAGRGUCCUGAAGGAACGUUGAAGACGACGACGUUGAUAGGCCGGGUGUGUAAGCGCAGCGAUGCGUUGAGCUAACCGGUACUAAUGAACCGUGAGGCUUAACCUUACAACGCCGAAGMUGUU
rnacentral:rRNA from 1 species